UCUUGCAAAAACAAACAAAGAGAACAAACACUCUCCAGUUGAAAUUUCAACUUGUCAAUUUUGGGUAGUAAGAGGGGGUGAGAGUGAGAGGGGGUGUGACUGAGAGGGUGUGACUGAAAGGGAAUGUGACUGGGAGGGGGUGUGACUGAGAGGGGUGUGUUUGAGAGAAGGUACGAUUGAGAAGGGGUGUGUCUGAGAGGGUAUGAGACUAAGAAGGAGUGUGUCUGAGAAGGUGUGUGUCUGAGAGGGGUGUGUGAGCGAGGAGGGGUGUGUCUGAGAGGGUAUGAGACUAAGAAGGAGUGUGUCUGAGAGAAGGUGUGUCUGAGAAGGGGUGUGUCUGAGAGGGGUGUGUCUGAGAAGGGGUGUGUCUGAGAGGGUGUGUGAGCGAGGAGGGGUGUGUCUGAGAGAAGGUGUGUCUGAGAAGGGGUGUG
ensembl:lncRNA